rnacentral:rRNA from 1 species
UACAGAGGGGGCGAGCGUUUGUUCGGAAUUACUGGGCGUAAAGGGCGCGUAGGCGGCCAUGCGUGUCUUCCGUGAAAUCCCUCGGCUUAACUGAGGACGUGCGGAAGAAACUGCAAGGCUCGAGUCCGGGAGAGGAGGGUGGAAUUCCCAGUGUAGCGGUGAAAUGCGUAGAUAUUGGGAGGAACACCGGUGGUGUAGACGGCUCACUGGACCGUAACUGACGCUGAGACACGAAAGCGUGGGUAGCAAACAGG